rnacentral:lncRNA from 1 species
UACUGGAGUUAAUUGAGUAGAAGGUAAUCAUAUGGUCAGAGCUUUGAUUAAAGAGGAUCACCUACACAGGUGAGCAAAGAAUGGAUUGGAGGGGCGGGGAGAGAUAGAGAAACUAUUAGGUAAAUGCAAUAACCCUGGAAUGAGGUGAUUAGAGCCUACAAAAUGGUGGCGUGUGACUUGAAAGAAAAGGAGAUGUGGAGAGAUGCUAUGAAGGUAACAACAAUAUCCUUUGACAAUGCACUGGUUACAUGGGGUGAGUUUGAGGGAUGAGUCAAUGAUGGCCCUGAAAUUAUGGGUUUAGAUAUGUCUGUGAGGAUUCAGGUACUCCUGAGAGUAAUAAGAAAGUUCUGAAAAGGAGAGGGUUGCUUUCUAUUAAAUCGUGUUCUUCUUUGCCUUUGUGUGUAUUCUUCCUUCCAUCGGGAAUGCCCUUUCUUUGAUCUUUGCUCAAUUAUUUGCUACUAUGCUUUCACAGCUCAACUGUAAUGUUACUUCCUUUGUGAAGCCUUCCCUAAUCUGAAUUGGAAGCAAUGAAUUCAUCCUUGGAAUCAUGGUCAAUGCCCCCAAAUUUAGGUAUCGCAUUUCUGCUGCUCUCUUCUGGGCAUCAUUUCUUCCCUCCAGUUAUCCAGGGGUGAUUACAGCUUCAGUGACUGAAUACUCUGUUCACUCUCUCCUGAACUGUGGCAAGUAAGCUCGGCG